GUUUGAUCAUGGCUCAGAACGAACGCUGGCGGCGGGCUUAACACAUGCAAGUCGAGCGCCUCGCAAGAGGAGCGGCAGACGGGUGAGUAACACGUGGGAAUCUACCCAUCCUUACGGAACAACUCCGGGAAACUGGAGCUAAUACCGUAUACGCCCUUCGGGGGAAAGAUUUAUCGAGGAUGGAUGAGCCCGCGUUGGAUUAGCUAGUUGGUGGGGUAAAGGCCUACCAAGGCGACGAUCCAUAGCUGGUCUGAGAGGAUGAUCAGCCACAUUGGGACUGAGACACGGCCCAAACUCCUACGGGAGGCAGCAGUGGGGAAUAUUGGACAAUGGGCGCAAGCCUGAUCCAGCCAUGCCGCGUGAGUGAUGAAGGCCCUAGGGUUGUAAAGCUCUUUCACCGGAGAAGAUAAUGACGGUAUCCGGAGAAGGAGCCCCGGCUAACUUCGUGCCAGCAGCCGCGGUUAGCUG
rnacentral:rRNA from 1 species